GUAAUACAGUAGGGGGAGGAGCAGCGUGAGGUAAUACAGUAGGGGGAGGAGCAGCGUGAGGUAGUAGAGUAGGGGGGGGAGAGUGCUUCUAAAAUGUAAUGAUUUAUGCGUUCUCCACACUCUCAUCCUCACAAGAUCGUAUUGAAGAGCACAUCCUCGGAGAAUGAGAGUGUGGAGAGAGAGAGAGACAGGGGUCAGGUCUGUGUGGGUGGUGAUGGUGUAGUAGAGGUAGUGAUGGGGUCAGGUCUGUGUGGGUGGUGAUGGUGUAGUAGAGGUAGUGAUGGGGUCAGGUCUGUGUGGGUGGUGAUGGUGUAGUAGAGGUAGUGAUGGGGUCAGGUCUGUGUGGGUGGUGAUGGUGUAGUAGAGGUAGUGAUGGGGUCAGGUCUGUUAUUAUGAAGGUAGUGACAUAUUCCAAUAUAGAAAAAGUCAUUCUGUUGAUCUUAGAUGGACCAAUUGUUUAAUCAACACUAACUGUUUUAUCAAUAACGGAUAAGAUCCUAAAGUUAACAUCAGUAUUUCACAGUGUUAUUGUUGGACUGGUGUGUGUGUGACAGGUAUGACGUAAGAGGAAGAACAAUACGAGUGAACAACUCUUUAAUGUUUAAAACUCCCAGCGAUGAAGACCGACACACACACACACACACACACACACACACACACACACACACACACACACAGACACAGAGUAUAAUUGCUGGAUAAGGGGUUGAAAUGUCUAUCAUAGCUAGAGGUGGGGAGGAGGGGGUGUUGAGGCCUCUGGAAAGGCCAGGGCAGACAGGAGAUCACAUGGAAGUGGUUUGAUCAUACAUAAGAUACGGUUAUACAGUUUAGAAGAGGAAGUUAGAGGGGGAGGAAUGUAGGGGAGAGUGAGAGAGAGAGAGAGAGAAAGAGAGAGAGUUUUGUACACAUUCGAGAAGGUCAGGGGAGGGACCUUGGACAUUCUCCUCCAAUAUGACUCAGGAGGAGAUAGGAGGCGAGGAAUCACAGAAAGCCUGUUAUCCAAUAAGCUGUGCUAUACCACCUCUCAGUGUACAAAAAGUGUCAUUUCAGUUUUUGAAACAUCUUUCUUGAAGCCAGGGACUAAGAGGCACCGUCACAUCAAAUCAUAUGUUUUGGGCCACAUAAUACAACAGGUGUAGACUUUACUGUGAAAUGCUUUACGAGCCCUUUCCUAACAAUGCAGAUAAAGUCAGACAAAUUAUUUCUAAAUAAAAAAGGAAAUAUCAACACAAUAAAAUAACAACAACGAGUGUGAAACAGUGUGUAGCAUCAAUAUGUAGUGUGUGUGUGUGUGUGUUGGAGUGACAGCACAUAGAGUCAGGGGCAAAAUAUAAAGUGGUCCAUGUAAAUAGUCCAGGUGGCCAUUUUAUUAAUUGUUCAGCAGUCUUAUGGCUUGGGGAUAGAAGCUGUUCUGCCUUUUGGUCCUCCCAUUAAACAUUAAACCUUUGGUUUGGGAAGCAGACCCUCUGUGUGUGUGUGUGUGUGUGGGGGGGGGGGUGCUGAUCCAAUCUUGUUUUGGUGCUGAUCCUAUCUCAUUUUGGCGAUGAUCCAAUCUUGUUUUGUACAUAAUGUUUCUUCUGGACGUCAGAACAUCUCUAACCUCCAUUUCUAAUUCAACGAGUCGGAUAUACUGCGCACCCUGGACCACGCCCUAAUCCCCGAGACCACGCCCUAAUCCCCGAGACCACGCCCUAAUCCCCGAGACCACGCCCUAAUCCCCAAGACCACGCCCUAAUCCCCGAGACGCAGAACAAUAAGAUACAUAGUUUCGUGUCAGGGUGCUAUACCGCCGUAAGAAAUAAACCGCCUCUAUUCCCUGGUGAAUGUACAGUCACUGGAGAACAAAUUGGAUGAGCUCAGUUGGAGACUAUCCUAUCAAAUCACUGGAGAACAAACUGGAUUAGCUCCGUUGGAGAUUUUUCUAUUGUGUUAUUGACUGUACAUUUUGUUUAUGUUUAGCUCUGUGUUGUUGUUAUUGUCGCACUGCUUUGCUUUAUCUUGGCCAGGCCAGAGCGCUCAGGACCUCAGAACAAUCAUGUCGAAGUCAUUACUAAUUUGUGAUGUAACAUUUCCUAUCAAACGACCAUUGGUAUGUCUGAUGUAUCCAUUAUAACAGAGCUACAACUACGAAAGACUUUGAUCUCUGGUGUACAAACCAGAGACUUUCUGUCAAAUUACUCCCCAGACGGAUCGAGGGUUUUCAACGGAGAAAUAGCAAAGACAUAGCCACGUAAAUAUGUACAUUGCAAUUCUUUCAAAUUAGUGGCUGCUCAUGUGCAAAGUAUUAGCAUUUCGAUGAGAAUAGUUCUCAGCUGUGUGUAUAUUAAUGAAGUCCUUGUCUUUUCUCCCGCUCUUUCUUACAUGCCCCUCCCUUUUCAUUUUGUGUAGAAGCCGUC
rnacentral:lncRNA from 1 species